rnacentral:lncRNA from 1 species
UCUGACCCUACCAAGGCUGUGCUCGCCGCCACCCUUCCUCGCCUCCGCCCUAUGCUCCCUUGCCUGCGCCCGCUCACCCCCUUCGCUUCUCGCCUCUGACCCCGCUAAGGCUGCGCUGCAAUUUUCUUUUCUUUUCUCUCUCCGAACCUCCUCUACCACCUCCGGGGCCCACCUCCACCUCCACCUGUACCUCCACUACAGCAGAUUUUUCACUCACCAAAUCCACUUCUGGGAACCCACCAUCUUCACCACUGUCCCCGAUAACGAAAA